AUUGAACGCUGGCGGCAGGCCUAACACAUGCAAGUCGAGCGGUAGAGAGGUGCUUGCAUCUCUUGAGAGCGGCGGACGGGUGAGUAAUGCCUAGGAAUCUGCCUAGUGGUGGGGGAUAACGUUCGGAAACGGACGCUAAUACCGCAUACGUCCUACGGGAGAAAGCGGGGGAUCUUCGGACCUCGCGCCAUUAGAUGAGCCUAGGUCGGAUUAGCUAGUUGGUGAGGUAAUGGCUCACCAAGGCGACGAUCCGUAACUGGUCUGAGAGGAUGAUCAGUCACACUGGAACUGAGACACGGUCCAGACUCCUACGGGAGGCAGCAGUGGGGAAUAUUGGACAAU
rnacentral:rRNA from 1 species